rnacentral:rRNA from 1 species
GGGGAAUCUUAGACAAUGGGCGCAAGCCUGAUCUAGCCAUGCCGCGUGAGCGAUGAAGGCCUUAGGGUUGUAAAGCUCUUUCGUGGGGGAAGAUAAUGACUGUACCCCAAGAAGAAGCCCCGGCUAACUCCGUGCCAGCAGCCGCGGUAAUACGGAGGGGGCUAGCGUUGUUCGGAAUUACUGGGCGUAAAGCGCACGUAGGCGGACUGGAAAGUCAGGGGUGAAAUCCCGGGGCUCAACCCCGGAACUGCCUUUGAAGAUCCCAGUCUUGAGUUCGAGAGAGGUGAGUGGAAUUCCGAGUGUAGAGGUGAAAUUCGUAGAUAUUCGGAGGAACACCAGUGGCGAAGGCGGCUCACUGGCUCGAUACUGACGCUGAGGGGCGAAAGCGUGGGGAGCAAAC